UACGCACCCCAAGCAUACAGGGGUGGCCAGCAGGGAGCGCAGUGACCCAGGACUGCGGUAAACAGGCCGGGCAAACAUGGCCUGGCAUGUCAGAAGGGAAUGGCACAGCACUUUGCACAGGGCUGACGAGCAUGGAUGUACUGCUCUUCUCAUCCGGGGCCAUGAGGGAAAGAGAUCUCCAUCAAUACCAACAUGGUGACCACCUGGUGUGGCAGACAGACAGGCAGAAAAGCAGACAGGGGACCCACAACCUCUCUGGGCUGACAUGCACACCUGGACGGAUCUCAUAAGGAGUGAGAGAGCUGCCCAGGCCUUUGGCUGCGGAGAGCUUCAGAACCUGGAAGUCCCUCCAUGGCCUGAGGGAGGAGCAGGAGCAGAGGGCUGUAAUGGGUGUUGGUGUGUCCUGCUCAACAAACUUCUUGAGCAGCUGGCCAGGCUGCAGGAAGAAAUCACCAGGAUGAGAGGCAAAUGGGAAUCAGAGAGGGAGGCAGAUAGAAGUAAUUCUGAACUGAUACAUGCCAACUGGCAGUUCCCUCCUAAGUCUCUGCUUGGGGUAGAAGCUAAACCAUUUUCCCAUUAGGAAGAUAAAGGACAUGAUAACACUCAAAGUGAAGGGGGAUGGAUCCUCAUCUGCUUGAGCAGAACGAGGUAUCUUCUGCCUAGCCCUGCAGUCCCCCUGGGCAACUGAUACAAGGAUCUGGGGUUGGAAACAGAAGAGGGACAGGAUAGCAGACAGAGCCCAGGAAACAGCAAGCAUACUUAGCAAGGCCAUCCAAGGAAUUGUAUUAAGACUUCCGUAAACAAAAAAGGGUGAGGAGUCUUAGUAACUGGGGACUCCUUGCUGGGAGGCACUAAGGCCCGCAUUUGCCACCCAGGUAACCUCUCCUGAGAGGUUUGCUGUCUUCAGGGGCACAUGUCAGAGGUGUUAAGAGGACUCUACCACAUUUCAUGAAAAGACUACUACCCACUCACUAUCAUUCAGAUGGAGUCACAGGAGGCUGCAACAAGGAAAUUACAUUAAUAAGGACUUUGCAUCCCUUGGAAGGACUCUGAAGGGAUAAGGAGUGCAAGUACUGUUCUCCUCUGUCCUUUUGGCUGAUGGCUGGGACCUGGAAAGAAGAAAGGCGAAUGGGUCAGGUAAAUUACUGACAGAGGGGAUGGUGUCAGGAUCAAGGUUUUGCGCACUGUGAUCUCAGGCAGGCCUUAGAGAGCCUGGGUAUGUGGGUGUCAGAUGGAAUGUAACUGAGCAGGUGGGGCAAAAGUGUUCUGGAACAAGCCAGCUGGAUUGAUUAUCCAGCUUUAAACUAGAGUCGAUGGGGUAAGGAGAUGAAGUUCUUUGUGACAGAGAAGAGCCAGGCAAUGCUGUCAUUUUAGGAAAAACCUCUCUUUUGUCCUAUUAUACUCAGAAAAGAUAACGUUGUCCAUAGCCCAACUGAAAUCUUCUUUCAUCCCUCUAAGGGAUACCUGCACCCUCUGUACCCUACCUGUACACCACUGCACACAGCACGAGAAAUAAACAGGAAGAAUGAGAAACCUGUGUGCGGUUACAGAGCCAUGAUCUCAUUCUGAUCACAGAGACAUGAUGGGACAGCUCACAUGACUGCAAUGCUGUCAUGGAUAGCCAUGUCCUCUUCAGGAAAGACAGGCCUGCAAGGUGAGGUGGUGGAGUUGCUCUCUACGUAAAAGACAAAUUAGAAUGUAUCAAGCCCCAACUGGGAGUGAAAGAUGAACGAGUGGAGAGCCUGUGGGUAAGAAUUAAGGGGUGAGCUAACGUAGGUGACUCUGUUGUGGAUGUAUACAAGCCACCUGAUCAGGAUGAGGAAGUUGAAGAGGCCUUCUACAGCCAGCUGGAAGUAGCCUUGCAAUUUCAGGUACUGGUUCUUAUAGGUGACUUCAGUCAUCCUGAAAUUUGUUAGAUAGCAACAUAGGCAGGCAUACAUUACUGUCCAGGAGGUUUCUGCAAAGUGUUAAAAAAUAACUUUCUUGUGCAGGUGGUGGUGGAGCUGACAAGGACGGGUGUGCUACUAAACGCUGUUCUUACUAACAAGAUCCCACUGCAUGGAAAUGCUGACCUUACCUUUGCAGAGUUCAGAAGGAUCUGACACUGCCAGCCUGUGAGAUCACCCCAUUCCUCACCCCAACAGCUGAAGCAGAGCAUCCUCCUCCUGAGUUACACUGAAGAAACAGACAAAGGAGCACCCAUGUGCUGUCAGAAUGAAGAAUACUGAAACAAACAGACUUGUGAAGGUUAGGAACUUUCAUCUUCUUUAUGACUGCCUGGCUUGCCUUUACUGUUAUUAGAGCACAUAUGUUUUAAUAUACUUACGAUCCUGUAAUUAAGCUCUUCACAAGCAUCUACAUAGAAAACUGCUGCCUUAGAGCUGCUGACUCUCCGAUCUACCUCAAUUGCAAACAGGUUGGUAAAUGGGGAGUUUCUCUCCAAGGUAAUGUUGGACACUCAUGUUGGAAUCUACAACCACUGUCUGGGAAAACAGAAACCAAAUUACUAAGUUAGAAUACCAUUUACAAAUCCCUCAUGAACAGGCUUAAAACUGAAAAGGCACAUGAGUCAGUAAUUCUAUGUUAAAUUAAAACUAGAGUGUACUGACCUAUCUGAGCUACUGUACCAACAAAGAAGUUUUCCAUACAAAUGUCACGAGAUUGGCUUCAGCAUCAGAAG